UACAGGGGUCUCGAGCGUUAAUCGGAAUCACUGGGCUUAAAGGGUGCGUAGGCGGGCCCGUAAGCAUUCCGUGAAAGCCCCCGGCUCAACCGGGGAACAGCGGGGUGUACUGCGGGCCUCGAGGCAGACAGGGGCGGUCGGAACUGUAGGUGGAGCGGUGAAAUGCGUAGAUAUCUACAGGAACGCCGAUGGUGAAGACGGGCCGCUGGGUCUGACCUGACGCUGAGGCACGAAAGCGUGGGGAUCAAACAGG
rnacentral:rRNA from 1 species